AGGUGCCUGGAAUGCUCGUUGCCCUCUGUUUUUGAACCGACAUGACAUAAACGGGAGUCCGCGUCAAAGUGGGAUACAGCCAGACCCCCAGACGAAUGUCUGACAGGGGUAGACUCAAGACCACUGCAGGACACCCACCUGGCAUAUAUGCUGGGUGUCAAAAAGGGGGGAGGCGGCAUUUCGGGUUUUCU
rnacentral:other from 1 species